AUUGAACGCUGGCGGCAGGCUUAACACAUGCAAGUCGAGCGGAGAUGAGGUGCUUGCACCUUAUCUUAGCGGCGGACGGGUGAGUAAUGCUUAGGAAUCUGCCUAUUAGUGGGGGACAACAUUCCGAAAGGAAUGCUAAUACCGCAUACGCCCUACGGGGGAAAGCAGGGGAUCUUCGGACCUUGCGCUAAUAGAUGAGCCUAAGUCGGAUUAGCUAGUUGGUGGGGUAAAGGCCUACCAAGGCGACGAUCUGUAGCGGGUCUGAGAGGAUGAACCGCCACACUGGGACUGAGACACGGCCCAGACUCCUACGGGAGGCAGCAGUGGGGAAUAUUGGACAAUGGGCGGAAGCCUGAUCCAGCCAUGCCGCGUGUGUGAAGAAGGCCUUUUGGUUGUAAAGCACUUUAAGCGAGGAGGAGGCUACCUGGAUUAACACUCUAGGAUAGUGGACGUUACUCGCAAAAUAAGCACCGGCUAACUCUGUGCCAGCCGCCGCCGUAACAC
rnacentral:rRNA from 1 species